AUGUUGCAGCCACCGGGGUCGUGUUCAAAAGGGCACAACGGAAUAAAAGAGAACCAUUGUUUCUUGUUACACGUUCAGACCAGUUUUGGGUUGUUUUCGUACAUUUUGCUCCUACUGAACACAGCCCUAAAUGAAGCCUCUGAUGUUUCUCCACCUGGUUCCUUUGUCUCUGUCUGUAGGGUGUUGAUGCCACCUCCUCUCCCUGUGUUUCUGGCCCCUGGCCCUGUGGCACGAAAGAGACCCAGGGAGACAGCAGUACCAGAGGUCGCACCCAGUCUACCACCCAGAACCCUCGGCCCUGUGGCACACAAGAGACCCAGGGAGACAGCAGUACCAGAGGUCCCACCCAGUCUACCACCCAGCGCCCUCUGCCCUGUGGCACACAAGAGACCCAGGGAGACAGCAGUACCAGAGGUCCCAGCCAGUCUACCACCCAGCGCCCUCGGCCCUGUGGCACACAAGAGACCCAGGGAGACGGCAGUACCAGAGGUCCCACCCAGUCUACCACCUAGCGCCCCUGCAUCACAGGAUUGUCCUCAGGAGGUGAAGAAGACGAAGGUAGUGGAGAAGCCUUCGUGCCUAGUACCCUACGGUGGGGACUCUUCUGAUGAGGGAGAGGACUCCUAGCAGUAAGACUCUAACUCAUAUGCCCACUACCCUUCACUAAUCCUAUCAGCCCCACCCUACAGUGUCCUCAUUCCACUUAGAUGCUGGGUUGCAGUGUUCAGCCCAAGUCUAGCUUUGCUCUGCUAUUACCAUCAUCGACUACUGGACAUUGGACAGAGCGUCACAUUGCUACGGCCCUGCCCCCUACCCCAAAAUAAAGCUACUUUAUGUUAUUAUAAUUAUUAAACCGUUUUCAUUUGGAAAGGUCAUUUUUAUUUCAAAUCUGAAAAAGCAUAUGUAGUUGUCCAUCCACGACCGAGCCUGCUCUACGACCGAGCCUGCUCUACGACCGAGCCUGCUCUACGACCGAGCCUGCUCUACAACCGAGCCUGCAGUUCACAAAUUCACUGAUUUAUUACUGUUAUAUUGUGUAUAAUGGAAAAUGGUGUGAAUCUGUUCCCAUGGAAUACAUUAAUAAAUGGAUUUGGAAACAACAUUCAUCUUGUUUCAUGUUAGUCUGUAACAGUGGUGUGGUAGUCCAGUCCAGGGUUUCAUCAUGUUAGUCUGUAACAGUGUUGUGGUAGUCCAGUCCAGGGUUUCAUCAUGUUAGUCUGUAACAGUGUUGUGGUAGUCCAGUCCAGGGUUUCAUCAUGUUAGUCUGUAACAGUGUUGUGGUAGUCCAGUCCAGGGUUUCAUCAUGUUAGUCUGUAACAGUGUUGUGGUAGUCCAGUCCAGGGUUUCAUCAUGUUAGUCUGUAACAGUGUUGUGGUAGUCCAGUCCAGGGUUUCAUCAUGUUAGUCUGUAACAGUGUUGUGGUAGUCCAGUCCAGGGUUUCAUCAUGUUAGUCUGUAACAGUGUUGUGGUAGUCCAGUCCAGGGUUUCAUCAUGUUAGUCUGUAACAGUGUUGUGGUAGUCCAGUCCAGGGUUUCAUCAUGUUAGUCUGUAACAGUGUUGUGGUAGUCCAGUCCAGGGUUUCAUCAUGUUAGUCUGUAACAGUGUUGUGGUAGUCCAGUCCAGGGUUUCAUCAUGUNNNNNNNNNNUUUAAGGACUGACCAGAUGUAUUCAUGAGGGACACCAUUUUAAGGACUGACCAGAUGUAUUGAUGAGAGACACCAUUAUAAGGGCUGACCAGAUGUAUUGAUGAGAGACACCAUUUUAAGGACUGACCAGAUGUAUUGAUGAGAGACACCGUUUUAAGGACUGACCAGAUGUAUUGAUGAGAGA
rnacentral:lncRNA from 13 species